rfam:Amborella trichopoda AMTR_V1.0_contig_42505, whole genome shotgun sequence.
CAAAUGGAUUCUUUAGAAUCCAUUUUUCAUUAAUUUUCAAUUUUAUU